UUUUAACUGCAUUUUACUGGAGGGCGGUUACGCUAAAGGACACGAGCACACGCGCAGCCACGCGCACGCCGCGCGCUCGUCCUCCAGAGGUGCAGCAGCCUCGUGCACGCCCCCGCUCUCCGUCCGUGCACGCGCAGUCACAGUGGAGACAGAGGUUGUAAACAUGGCGGCGGACGGAAUGGUGCUCACCAACCACGACCAUCAGACCCGCGUGGGGAUUUUGACAGUCAGUGACAGCUGUUACAAGAACCUGGCAGAGGACAGGAGUGGAGUCAACCUGAAGGACUUGGUUCAUGACCCCUCGCUUCUAGGAGGAGUCAUAUCAGCCUACAAGAUAGUCCCAGAUGAGAUUGACGAAAUUAAGGAAACACUUCUGGAAUGGUGUGAUGAACAGGAGCUCAAUCUCAUCCUCACUACAGGAGGAACUGGAUUUGCACCACGAGAUGUAACACCUGAGGCCACCCGGGAGGUGAUAGAGCGCGAGGCUCCGGGCAUGGCUCUGGCCAUGCUGAUGGGGUCACUCAAUGUUACACCUCUCGGCAUGUUGUCCAGGCCAGUCUGCGGGAUUCGUGGUAAAACCCUGAUUAUCAAUCUUCCAGGAAGCAAGAAAGGCUCACAGGAGUGUUUCCAGUUCAUUCUGCCUGCUCUGCCUCAUGCCGUGGACCUCCUGCGUGAGGCCACCGUCAGGAUCAAAUCCACGCACGCUGCCCUGGAGCAGCUGCCAUCCCCGUCCUCCCUGCUGGCCAACACGCACGCCAACACGCACGCUCACAUACACACCAUGGAGCGCGGCACCCAGUGCGAGGAAGAGGAUGACGAGGAGGAGGACAGGAGGAGGAGCAGACACGUGCACAACCACCACCACCACCACCACCAUGGCUCCUCCCACAUCACCGCAGCCGCCAUCGCUGCAAAGACGAGCCAUGCUGUGGUCAUGGCGAAGGGAGCCCCAUACCUGCCUGGAAACUCCCCCGCCCCCCCUGCUCAUUUCACCUGUUCCUGCACGCAUGAGCAGCCGAUCCCGGACUCGAUCAUAUCUCGAGGUGUUCAAGUGCUUCCUCGAGACUCUGCCUCGUUAAGCUCCACCCCUUCCGAGUCACCGCGGGCGACACAGGCAACCUCCCGUCUUUCCACCGCUUCAUGCCCGACGCCCAAGGUCCAGUCUCGGUGUGGCAGCAAUGAGAACAUCCUGAGAGCCAGUCACAGUGCUGUUGACAUCAGUAAAGUGGCUCGUCGUCAUCGCAUGUCUCCGUUCCCGCUGACGUCAAUGGACAAAGCCUUCAUCACUGUUCUAGAGAUGACUCCUAUUCUGGGAAUCGAAGUCAUUAACUACAGAGAUGGUUUGGGUCGGGUGCUUGCUCAGGACAUCUACGCCAAAGACAACCUCCCCCCCUUCCCCGCCUCGGUGAAGGACGGCUACGCGGUGCGCGCUGCUGACGGCCCAGGAGACCGCUUCAUCAUGGGGGAGUCGCAGGCCGGACAACAGCCCACACACACUGUGAUGCCGGGUCAGGUGAUGAGGGUAACGACCGGCGCUCCGAUCCCCUGUGGAGCCGACGCUGUGGUUCAGGUUGAAGACACGGAGCUCCUGAGGGAGUCUGAGGAUGGCACGGAGGAGUUGGAGGUGAGGAUUAUGGUCCAGGUGCGGCCCGGACAGGAUAUCAGGCCAAUCGGACACGACAUCCGGCGAGGCGAGUGUGUUCUGGCUAAAGGGACUCACAUGGGCCCGUCUGAGAUCGGCCUGCUGGCCACAGUGGGAGUGACCGAGGUCAGCGUGCACAAGUUCCCCGUGGUGGCGGUGAUGUCCACUGGAAACGAGCUCCUGAACCCGGAGGACGAUCUCCACCCAGGAAAGAUCCGGGACUCGAACCGCUCCACUCUGCUCGCCACCAUCCAGGAGCACGGAUAUCCCACCAUUAACCUCGGCAUUGUGGGAGACAACCCUGACGACCUGCUGUCUGCUCUCCACGAGGGGAUCAGCCGUGCUGACGUCAUCAUCACCUCAGGGGGCGUGUCCAUGGGAGAGAAGGACUACCUGAAACAGGUGUUGGACAUUGACCUUCACGCUCAGAUCCACUUCGGACGAGUCUUCAUGAAGCCGGGACUUCCCACCACCUUCGCCACCGUGGACAUCGAUGGAACCCGGAAGCUCAUCUUUGCUCUUCCAGGAAACCCGGUGUCGGCGGUGGUGACGUGUAACCUGUUCGUGAUUCCUGCUCUGAGGAAAAUGCAGGGAAUCCUGGACCCACGGCCGACCAUUAUAAAAGCCAGACUCUCCUGCGACGUGAAGCUGGACCCCAGACCCGAGUACCACCGCUGCAUCCUGACCUGGCAUCAUCAGGAACCUCUGCCCUGGGCCCAAAGCACAGGUAACCAGGUGUCCAGCAGGCUGAUGUCGAUGCGCAGCGCCAACGGCCUGCUGAUGCUGCCCCCCAAGACGGAGCAGUACGUGGAGCUGCACAAGGGGGAGGUGGUGGAUGUGAUGGUCAUCGGGCGGCUAUGAUGCAGACUCACGUCAUUUGCUACCGGUUGCCAUGGCAGCGCCAGGACUUCUUGACGGGACGAGAUGUGGGUGGGGGCAGGAAGUGAUGCAUGUCUAUCUGGUUGCCAUUAGCUGUGAUGUCAUAUGCAACAGCCAAUCGGAGCCAGCGCAGGCUGAGUCCUCUCUGCUUUGAGCAGAUCACUGUAUUUCAAUGAAGAAAAAAUAGAGAAAAUAUGAGAUUUAUUCUGUAAUAUUAUUAUUAUUAUUAUCCUAAUGAUGAUGAUCAAUAUUCUAAGUUAUUCUAUUUAUUAUUAAUAUCAUUAUGGUUCUGAUGGUAGUACUCAUGCCCCUUUCUCCUCUUCAGUUUGUGCGAUUUUCUCUGAAACUUCCCGGUUACCUCAAAUGCACCACGGACGUCAUAGCCGAGUUCAUGUCUCGAAAAACGCGAGCUGCCGGCACCUGCCCAAGAAGAAGCAAUCAAACAAACCCUUCGGAGUGAAAGAAGCAGGUUAACGUGAAACUGCCUUUGUACUGAGUGAACUGAGUCACACCGCACACAUGAUCAACUAUGACCAGCACUAAUGAAGCAAUGACAGCAUUCUGCCACUACUGUACAAACCUAUGGGAGGAUGCUUUUGUUUCCUGUAAAGAUAUUAGUGAAACUGAAGAUGAAUUAAAGAUAAUCCUGAUUAUUCUGUACA